AAUAAGUGUAAGACAAUUAGUUUCCGUAAAUUUUAUUAGAUCAGACAAGUAACUAGACAACAUUUAUAAUGACUAAAAUUUUACAGCAUGUACCAACAAAUUAAUGACAGGACAGUUACAGUUAGACGAAACACAAGACCAAAAACGACCAAAUUAGUUUCCCCCUGAAGAAGACACUAACCCCGUGUCGAAACGUUGGGCAAGUAA